CAUGGCCUCGCUGGCCUGGUGCUGCUGGGCGUCGACGGCGCGCAGGGCGUCCUCGAAGGCGUUGCCGAAGCCCGGCUCGGCGCCGGGGGCCUCGC
rnacentral:tRNA from 1 species